rnacentral:lncRNA from 1 species
GAGGACAAGCAAGGAGCAAGAACUCAGAUAAUCCCUGGGCCAAUUAUCCAGGACCUGCACAGAAAGGCAUCCUAAUGAAGACUUGCUGAAGGAAUGAAUAAGUGGGUGACCAUUGUAUGCAGGCAAACUUGUGAGAACCUGCUGAGAUAUUAAUGCAUCCUAAGGUUUUAAGGGAUCAAGAUCACGGGUUAGAGUUUGUAUGAAAAGCAAGGUGUUGGUAGAAUUAA